CACGUCAGUGCGAGUUGCUGACAUGGAAACAAAUCGUGCCCUCUAGGACGUGAUUUGCUACCACGUCAGCUUAGCGCGCUGACGUGG
rfam:Gossypium hirsutum cultivar TM-1 chromosome 20, whole genome shotgun sequence